GACGAACGCUGGCGGCGUGCUUAACACAUGCAAGUCGAACGGAAAGGCCUGCUUUCCCUUGUGGAUUGCGGGUACUCGAGUGGCGAACGGGUGAGUAACACGUGAGUGAUCUGCCCCCAACUUGGGUAUAAGCCUGGGAAACUGGGUCUAAUUCCCGAUAGGACUGCAGGGUGGUGCCUGUGGUGGAAAACGAUUUUCUAGUGGUUGGGGAUGAGCUCGCGGCCUAUCAGCUUGUUGGUGGGGUAAUGGCCUACCAAGGCGGCGACGGGUAGCCGGCCUGAGAGGGUGGACGGCGACAUUGGGACUGAGAUACGGCCCAGACUCCGACGGGAGGCAGCAGUGGGGAAUAGUGCACAAUGGGCGGAAGCCUGAUGCAGCGACGCCGCGUGGGGGAUGACGGGCUUCGGGUUGUAAACUCCUUUCGAGCGCGAGGAAGCCACCUGGUUGGAAGGGUGGUGACGGUAGUGGUAGAAGAAGCACCGGCUAACUACGUG
rnacentral:rRNA from 1 species